rnacentral:lncRNA from 1 species
AGGGGGCGCCGCCUCGUGCCCGACCCCCGCCCGGCCCCGGGCCCGCUGCGUCCCGCGGGGCUGCGGCUCCCCCGCGCGGUGCCCGCAGCCCCUGCCCCUGUCCCUGCCUUCCCCUCAGUCCCCCUGGAGCCCAGGAGCCUGCCUGCAGCCCAGCGCCUCCCAGGCGGGCAGCAGCGGGGCAGGUUUCCCACACCGAGGCUCUGAAACCCGAUUCCGUUCAAGCAGCUCCUCGGGAACCCGAAACUGAACCAUUUCCCUUUCUUCCUCUCAGCUGGAAGGAGCUGGGCUCCUGCCUGUACCUGGCAGCUGCCAGCAGUGCCCUAUAUCCGUCUCUCAGAAGCUGUUUUGUCGGGUCUCCUGUGUUCCAUCACACAAAAUCCCGAUAAUCUUUCUUGCUCUUUGUCCCACCAUUCCUAAAUUACUCCACACAGUCACUGCUUUCAACCUACACUGAGUGUUAUCGUGUUAGUGCUGUAAUAAACCUGCUUGCAAAUUGAGACCAUAAACGACGAUACGCUGUGAAUGCCAAUACCACAGCGUCCUACAAUCGCUUUCGGUUCACUACAUGCUCACAGAUGCGCUAACACAUCUAUUAAUCAUCGAUGAAAUCCAAACACAAAAUCCAAGAAAACUCUUCAGAGACAGACAUUGUUCAGUUUGUCUUUUUUUCUCUUUAGCUGACAAGAUCCUGAGCUAACGCACCACCUGUAGCUCAACGCUGUGAGAGCACGUGCUGAAGAUGCCAAGAUUUUUGAAGCUGGUGGGAUGUCUAAGGACAUUGUUACACCUUGUUAGAACCGGUGCUGAUUUUGUUAUAUAGCCUCGUUUCACGUUACAAUAUUUUCUUUGCUCAUGAGCAGGAAUCUGUCUCGUUUUCUAUAGUCAGCGACAGGUAACUCGCUUUACUCACCUUUCCUGUCAAAGCAGAGUUCACAGUUUAAAGAGGUUUUAAGAGUUUUAUGGAUUACAAGUGCUAUUAACAACAAUAAGCCUAAAAGACUGCCACAGUAUCUUCUGUCUUGUCCUCCCCCCCCAGCCUUUUGGAAAAUUCUUAUGCCAUCAUUUGAUACUGUGCUUUAUAUUCACGG